UGAUCUGACUCACAGAAACAGCAUCUCAAAAUAAAGACAGAAGAGAACCCUUUUGAAAGUGUCCAGUUAGAAUUAGAAGAAAGUCAAACA